GUUUUGUGGGUAUCCAGUUACUCAGAACAUGCAUAGAAUGCACGAUAUCUAGUGUGUUGUCGAAGAAGGGGAGUCUUUGCGAAAUGCUUAUGUACAAAGGUACAACGCCUCUUGAUGCAAUGAAACUAUUGAAAGGGCCAUUUAGAUUCAUUGAAGUUGUGAUGAUUGUUAUGUUUCUUUUUCUCAUUCUGACAGCAAAUGUAGCCACCCCACCUCCGAUGUCAAGCCCUAUUCUUAUUGUGCCAGGCUUCUUUACUGCAAGUACUUCAUCUACGGAGAAGUCGAGGCCCCCACCAUUGCCAGUCCAUCGGGUUUUCUCUCGUCCAGCAAGGUCAAAACAGUCCUUGCAGUCGUCAAAACCUUUCUGAGUAUGCAUACGAUUGAUGAGACAUGAAUAGUUCUUGCAGGUAUGUGCUGUCCAAACAACAGUUGAGUCCGAGGGUGUCAUCCAUAAGCUAUCAGGAAGUGGGUAUGGUUCAAUGUAUUCUUUCUGUGCAGCUGGAUGGCACCGGCGUCGAGGAAGUGGCUCACAUCCCCGGAGGAGAAGCUUUUGUGCUAGAAGCUCGUCGUCCGGGCAGGAUCCAUUGACUUUGUAUGACAUAUACUGGCGAAGCAUAUCAGGGAAAAGUGCACACGGAUGGCCAACUGGAGGGAGGAUUUUGUCGGAAUCAAAAUUUGAGUUAUAACCCAGUGGGAGCUGCUGUGGGGAUGUGAAAGCAAGAAACUCAUCAGGGAGGUCUGCUUCACUUUCCGAUGCAUUGAAUUGUUUGACAAUCUCUACUUUCGGGGUUGGCUUGGGAUCUCUUGGGGCACAAUCAGCAGUUUUCCCAAUGGGUGUGACGGAUUCUACUCGAGUUCCUAGAGAACAUGGAGAAUACAAGUUAGUGGAAAUGAAGAGAGUGAGAAGAUUUGAAGACACAAGUAAGAAAAGAUAGAAGAGUUUAGAAGAGAAAGAUCUUGAAUUGCAAGGGGAAUCCAUGGAAAUCUGAUUUGGAUUGCUUAGAGUUGAAGAUGAAGUGUAUUGUGUAUACGAUUAGUUGGGAUUAAAGUCAACUUACUAAUAUAUUAUGUUUUAAUACAUUUAAUCACGCAGAAGCAUGUUUUAUUUAAGACGAGUUGGUAUUGUAGCAGGUAGUGGGAUCUUGUGGAAGGUCAACACUGAGAGAGUGAAGUACAAAUUUCAUAUUCUAUAGAGAAGUGUGAAGUUUUGUGAUUUCGGUUUUGGCGGACUUGUUCACAUGCAUUUUCCAAUUUGUAUGAAUUUAUCAUCUUAAAUUACUUUCUUUAAAAAUUCAUGCGAAGGUUAAAUAGAUAGAGGAAGAAUUUAUUCUAACCAGAUCUGAGUUUGGAUCUAAUUCAGUAUAUUUAAACUCAAAAGAUCAAUAUGCACUUAAUUCAAUGGCAAUGGUUGAUUAAAUUGCAGGAUGCAAAUUCAUUAAUAAUGGACCAUAUUUUAGUUUCUUUUUAUUGUUUUAUCCAUCUUGCGUUGAGAAUUAGAAACUCUAGUUUUAUAUCACCGAAAAUAAUUAAACUGUAGGAAAAAAAAUAGACACACAAGACAUGCAAAAUUAAUAGAGGUUCGUCCUAAUGUGAAAUUACGUCCUCUUUCGUCGCUGUGGUAACUCAUUAUUUUCUCUUACAUCUCUCUUUUUACAAGAGAAAUUGUACAUUUUAUCAUCUCUUAUACCUCUCUUUUUAAUAAUUAUAAUUAAACCUUAAUGAUGACUCCCCUGAUGAUAUCCAUAAUUUUGCGUACAAGCUCUACGCAAUGACAAUAAUUAAAUUUUACAACUUGACAUCUUGCACUCCCUUAUCCGGCCUCUGGUAAUGUUCAAUGAUAUGCCAAUAGCUAUCCAUUAUUCAAAUCUAUUUAAGGCAUUGUGCUCACUUAUUCUCGAUUCUUCAAUUCAAAAGACAUGUUGAUAUGCAAAAAAUUAUGAUCAAAGCUUCCACGAUUAAAAGAUUGAUAGAAUUCACGAUGAGCUUCAAAAAAUAACGACAAAAACCAAUAUGAAUUCCAAGUGGUCUUUGUAUUAAGCUUGCUGUAGAUUAUUAUUCAUUGUCACAAUGUAGUUUUAGUACUCAUGUUUACUAACAAACUCGAAGCUGAUAAAAAUCCAAUCAUUCCUCCAGAUGAGUUUUCCUAUACCUGUUAAUCAGAAGUAGAAAACACAAAUUAUAGAACAGGGGUUUGCAAAAUCAAAGCAAGAAUGUUCAAAUCCUUACAAGAAGGUACAUGCUAGUUAGUAGUUACAAACUGCAGAACUCCAUUCAUAUGAUCUUUUUCUCAUAAUGUUCACUCUCUUCAUUUCAUCCCACCCACCCACCAACCCCUGCGUUUUGGGUGUAUUUUCUAGCUUCGAAUCUAAAGAAUAUUUAGACACUACAUGUUACAAAUCAAUGUAUAACUGGCUUCAGAGGAUGAGCUCUCAGUAGUGACAAGUCCAAGCUUGCAUCUAGCUCUUCGUCUAGUUCUCCAACGAUGCUACUGCAAGGUAAGGUAAGAAAAAUCAGACUACAGCAUAUAAUUAUAUUAGUCAAACGCAAAAGAAUUAUGAUGUAAAUGAUAUGCAGAUGGCAAAGAAAAAAUAGUACAUGUUGUCUCCUCUGAUGAUGUAGAGACCCAACACAAGUUGCUGUACACCUUCCUACAAUAUAGAACAGGCAUCAAUUGUAUUAUGAGAAAAUCAACCUUAUGGAACAACACAACUGUGUUAAUAUUGAACUAAAAUACAUAUAGGAAAAUAAAAGAUAUAAAAAGAAGAAAUGAUAAGAAUUGAUUAAUAUUCAACUUGAAGGUACAUAUAACACAAAGCUCCUCAACUACAAGAGCAGGGAGGUUAGCAUUUAACGAGUUCCACCCACUCUCUCUACCUUUGAAGCACAGACACUCCUCAGACACAUGCAACACGACGUGUUCUAUUUAUGAUAUACUUAGUAAAAAAUUUCAUGAUGGGCACAUCCUCGAGGCGUGACCUAUAUAUUUUCUGUCUUCAAUUUUUGACAUGCAACGCGCAUUUCCUCAACGUCAUAGGAUGUGUUAUUCACUGAAUUCUUUUCAUUCAGUAAAAUCUAUAUUCAGAGCAGCUUGGACUUUCUAAUAGCGAGCUAUGCUACACAACAUACAUGUUUGAUGCUUGUAGGAGAUUAGGAGCAGACCUUUGUGGAAUACACCCGUUCAUGAGACUCAUCAAGAAUUAUAUUAGUAGCCUGGUCAAAACCUUUCAGAAUUCCCUGCAAGAAGAAUUGGUUAUUUAGUAUAAGAAAAGGGUUCACUACCAAAUAUUCUAUUAUUGCAGCUCAAAACCUAAAGGCUUACCACUAUAUUUCGCCCAUCAUUUGUGAUCACUGAGAUUGUUUCUGAGAAUCACAAGGGACCAAAAUUAAAAGCAUAAAAAAGAGAUGUUAUUGGAAGCAAAUUACUUGUCAAGAAAUUCAAGUGUGAAAAGAUAUAGACGGGAUAUUUAAAUUCUUAUAAACUAAAUGAAAGAUGCAGUAUACCCCAGUUCUCUAGAGUUUUAAAAUAAGGUGCCUACAACACCUCACUCAGUUCAGGCCAAGCCAGUAACUUGAUAGGACAGGAAAUAUGAUAACUGGAGGAAGUACUUUGGCCUUAUCGGGGGCAGCCAUGGGGGAUUUUCCGCAAUGGGCCAAAGCCUGAGAGAGCAAUGCCUUGUGGAGGUAGUUGUAAGUUGCUUUUAUAUCAGUCAAUCAAAGAUAUUGUAUCAAAUGGAAUUUACUCACAGCUAUUUAGACUUUGACUGAGAAGAAAUAAAAUAUCUUUAACACUUCAGCUUUGCAGAUCAUAACAUCAAAGACUAUAAUGUAUGAAGAUGCUAUCCCUAACACAGUUUGCCAGCAGGAUGUUACGAAAAAAAAUCUACUUCAGGUUCUUAAGAACUCUUCAAAAUCACCAUUGAGUUCAGGGGGAAGGGGCACAUAAUAAACACUACUCCAUUCAUGUAGUAGAUUAGCAAUAUAAUAUCCAGUUUAUAAACAAUGGUAAUUCCUGAAAAGAACACGCAAACGAGAUAACAUCAUAUAUCAGUCGUGGAUCAGUAUAGGUUUAUGAUUGCAUACGGUCAACAAGAUUCUCAAGUCCAAGCCCACUAGACAUCUUCUGAUCUCCAAUACAAAUAGGCGAUGAUUCUUUUUAAAUUGCUGAUGCUUGGACUUUUGCGAAGCCUGCUCCAUGAGAGUGAAACUAGUUAUUAGUCAUUUUACAAUUCUAAAAAAGAUGAACCAGCCAAAAGAUAAAACUCAGCGAAAAAAAAAGAAAAGAAAAGAAAAGAAAAUGCCUCAAUCUAGGGAACUGAUUAAAAAUGAAAACUAAUAAGAACUUAGGGUGAAUAACUUUUCUGUUUUGCUUUAGAGGAAACAUAUAGUGACCAUGAAGAAGUUGAUUAAAAAUGAUAUUAAUUAUUUCGAUAAUAAAAAAUAAGUUAACUGGAGAAAGGUUGCCCACAUGACUUGUGAGGUCUUAGAAUGAAGCUACUUUCAACAAUCCUUUUCAAUCAUUCUUUCAAGUUAGUAAGCCAUAUCCAUGUUCUUUGUGCCCUUUGACUUUAACAAUCCCAAAUUACUAGAGGUCUUGUUGCAUAUCAAGUACGUCAUCAGAUGGGGCCUCAAAUAGUUAUAACGGUUUGACUGGUCAUAAUAAACUUCUGGAGGUCCAAAUCAAGGUCCAACAAGUACACGAGUACGUAGUAGCCAGAUGUCUGUUUAAUAAAAAGUUAAAACAGGCGGUAAGUCGAUUGGAAAUCAUAGAUCUAGGGAAAAUUUUGACUACGCAAUUAAUGUUCAUAAUGCAUAUACUAAAUUAUAAUUCCUCAUAUUUUUAACAGUACCGAGAAAAUGAACUAGAUUGAAUUACAGUGUAUAUGGAAACACAGGUGAAAGAAAUUUCAUUGUUACUUAUCCCAUCAGUAGGUUUAUGGAUCAAAGUAAAGAAAUAGUUGCGAGAAAUUAAGAUUCUUACAACCACUCACAUAUAAUACACAUUAAGAAGGUAAAUAUCCAAUAAAAUUCUACAAAAUAGAUGAACACAGUCACAGAGCCCCACCACAUACAGACACACAUAUCAAUAGAAAUUAUACUUUUGGACUGGCAGCAUUAGAGCAUUCAAGAAAAAACCAAAAAAAUAAAAUAAAAUAAUAAUAAUAAUAAAAAAAUCCGAAAUAGGAAAAAUAUUACUGCAGGAUUAAGAUACUUAAAAAAUCGAACAAUGUCUAUUUUUCAAUUCUCAGGAACAAGACUAAUAUCUAUAAAAGCUAAUCGGUAUAAUCACAUUAAUUAAAAAAAAUGCAGAUUUCGGCGCAAUUUGAAAUAACAAAACAACACUUUUCCUUCAUACCUAGAGAAGGAAAAAAACCCGCCGGAAGAAGAAGUGCGAACUUGUACCGUAAACUGGUUCGUGUGCUGGAAAACCACAACUGAACCAGUUGCCAGUUGCGACACACUGAUCAAUAAAAUGAAAGAAAGAAGAUGACUGGAUUAAAUGUAUAAUGGGCCCAUCUUCUUAUGGACUAGUCUUGUAAAGGCCCAUGUUUUGGUAUAAGUUUUUAAACUUUCACUUGUAGCAUUACUUUUCUACGCUUAAAGUUCCACGCUCCACAUGACAUCAUUGUGUCAAACUAUUUCUUUACCCAUCUGUAUAGAGAUAUUUAUAAAUAAUAGAUUUCUUUUUUUUUUUUAACUACACAUUUUUCAUAAAAUCACUACUACAAAAUAUAAUAUUUUUCCAAAAACUAAUUAAAAUGGAGCUCAAACAAGGGCUAAUGCUAAAGCAAGAAAACCCCUUUCAUCAGUAUGAUCUUGAGAGCUCUAUAUUUUGUCGAAUUUCAAGAAAUAAAUCGAAUGUUUCAAAUUUAGCAUAGUUAGAGAAUCUCCAAUGAUGAUAUAAAAUAAAUGUAAAUUGACAUAUUCAAAAAAGGGCCAUUUAGAUUCAUUGAAGUUGUGAUGAUUGUUAUGUUUCUUUUUCUCAUUCUGACAGCAAAUGUAGCCACCCCACCUCCGAUGUCAAGCCCUAUUCUUAUUGUGCCAGGCUUCUUUACUGCAAGUACUUCAUCUACGGAGAAGUCGAGGCCCCCACCAUUGCCAGUCCAUCGGGUUUUCUCUCGUCCAGCAAGGUCAAAACAGUCCUUGCAGUCGUCAAAACCUUUCUGAGUAUGCAUACGAUUGAUGAGACAUGAAUAGUUCUUGCAGGUAUGUGCUGUCCAAACAACAGUUGAGUCCGAGGGUGUCAUCCAUAAGCUAUCAGGAAGUGGGUAUGGUUCAAUGUAUUCUUUCUGUGCAG
rnacentral:lncRNA from 1 species